UACGAACGCUGGCGGCAUGCCUAAUACAUGCAAGUCGAGCGAACAGAUGAAGUGCUUGCACUUCUAACGUUAGCGGCGAACGGGUGAGUAACACGUAAGGAAUCUACCUAUAAGCGGGGGAUAACACUCGGAAACGGGUGCUAAUACCGCAUAAUAUCUUCUUCCGCAUGGAGGGAGAUUGAAAGACGGCUCUGCGGUCACUUAUAGAUGACCUUGCGGUGCAGUAGUUAGUUGGUGGGGUAACGGCCUACCAAGACGAUGAUGCAUAGCCGACCUGAGAGGGUGAUCGGCCACAUUGGGACUGAGACACGGCCCAAACUCCUACGGGAGGCAGCAGUAGGGAAUCUUCCGCAAUGGGCGAAAGCCUGACGGAGCAAUGCCGCGUGAGUGAAGAAGGCCUUCGGGUCGUAAAACUCUGUUAUAAGAGAAGAACAAAUUGUAGAGUAACUGCUACAGUCUUGACGGUAUCUUAUCAGAAAGCCACGGCUAACUACGUGCCAGCCGCCGCGGUA
rnacentral:rRNA from 1 species